UACGUAGGUGGCAAGCGUUGUCCGGAAUCACUGGGCAUAAAGCGCACGUAGGCGGCGGCGUAAGUUGGAUGUGAAAUCCCCCGGCCCAACCGGGGAACUGCGUCCAGUACUGCGUUGCUUGAGGAUCCAAGGGGUGCAUGGAAUUCCCGGUGGAGCGGUGAAAUGCGUUGAUAUCGGGAGGAACUCCGGCGGCGAAAGCGGUGCACUGGUGGAUUACUGACGCUGAGGUGCGAAAGCCAGGGGAGCAAACGGG
rnacentral:rRNA from 1 species